ensembl:lncRNA LINC01685 long intergenic non-protein coding RNA 1685
AGUAUUUCUGUUUUCAUGCAGAUACACACAGCACAGCUAGUUUCAAAAUUAAACCACAAUGAAAACUGUCACUACUGACAAGGAACUAUGCAAAGACCUUCGGUCUCAGGCCCUUGCUCACUCAGGAGUACCUUGAGACCUGUUUCUUCCUGUUCAGCUGCAGUCACGGUUCUAACCUGGUUCUUCUCACGGCUGGUAUCCUCUGACCUUUUAUGUCUUGGCAAUGACUUCCAUGCAUUUUGGCAGUGACUGCCUGAAUCUCUGAUUCAACCCUGAUCGCAGCCUCUCGGGCUUUCUCGCUCCUUUAAUUCUUUCCGCGGAUGGCCACGGCUUUUGCCGCCUGUACCCUUCCUGGAGCAACCCGUGCUUUUGAAAAAUGACCAUGCCGAAGGGGAACUAACACUCCCAGCCUGGUGCGGGUCUUGUCAAUCUGAUUUUUAAAUGAUGGAGGAGGAGGUUUGAGGACAAAGCUCAUGGUGGCAUUACCACUAUCAGGGACGCUGCAAAGAUCAAGUGAAAAGGGGAAAAGGCUCUUCUCAAUGUGAGCACAUUCACAGGCUCUGAGAACAGAGAGGUAUUUAAAGUGAACUGGAACAAACCUGCAACAUCCGGUGCGUUCUGCCUUCAAAAAUAGCUGCCAGUUAGAAAGGGUUAUUUACAUAUUGAUUUCAUGCUAACUUUGUAAUGGAAUGUGCUGCCUGCCUGCCUGCCUGAGACCUAACAACUGUCAUCAUAAUUUUUUCUAAAAAUACAGUCAGAGAAAAACACUCAUUGAACCCUCCACUGGAAAGUAGCUGCAAAAGACCCCCUGAUCCCAAACCUGCUUGACAGACCACAGCCAAGGGCAGGGACACUCAACAACUGUAAACGAGGAACAUUUCACAGCGGCAGCUGGCCCCUCUCUUCUUCCAACCAGCCAAUAUUUUUUGUCUUUCUAGAAAACCUGUCUUGUUCAAAGGGCGGCAAGUGCAGCCUGAGAGCCCUCCACGGCCUGAUUGCUGAAAGAAUUUCCAAAAGGAAAGAGUGUAAACAGGUACAUUGAAAAAGCCUCUUUUCAACAAUUAUGUAAACAUUCCAAACACUAUUUGAAAACUUUCACAGUGGAACUGUCAAGUCGGAGCAUUCUUGUUUAAUUGCGCGGGCACAAUGGUGGCUCUGGGGCUACCCCAGCCUCCCCCAGACCCCGCAGAGCUUAGCGGGACGUGGGAGGCCCUCAGAUAAAGAAGUCACAGCGAGACAAGUGAGCUUUACUCUCCGGCCCACGGCAUCUUUCCGUGUGUGUCCUUGUUCCCUUGGCCUCCAGAAGAACACCCUGGAAACAGGGAGGCGCCUUCUUUCUCCUGACUGGAUUUCUCCAGGACCUGGGCCCCUGCUCUGCACAGAGGGUCGCUUGGUAAUCAGGAUGCAACUAGAUGGAAACUUCUGUGUCAUUUAAGGGUUUUCUCCAAAGCACCAAAUGACCAUUCUGAGAUACCAGGCAAAAUUGUUGGCAACGUUUUCCCUCCCCUUUAGAAUGUUUCUCGCUGGCCUCUCCGGCCUCUCCUUUUCUGACUCUAGUUUGCUACUGGGCAAAAGUUUCCUCCUUUUCCAUG